rnacentral:rRNA from 2 species
AGCUUGCUGGGCGGAUUAGUGGCGAACGGGUGAGUAAUACGUGAGUAACCUGCCCUUGACUCUGGGAUAAGCCUGGGAAACUGGGUCUAAUACUGGAUACUACCUCUUACCGCAUGGUGGGUGGUGGAAAGGGUUUUACUGGUUUUGGAUGGGCUCACGGCCUAUCAGCUUGUUGGUGGGGUAAUGGCUCACCAAGGCGACGACGGGUAGCCGGCCUGAGAGGGUGACCGGCCACACUGGGACUGAGACACGGCCCAGACUCCUACGGGAGGCAGCAGUGGGGAAUAUUGCACAAUGGGCGGAAGCCUGAUGCAGCGACGCCGCGUGAGGGAUGACGGCCUUCGGGUUGUAAACCUCUUUCAGUAGGGAAGAAGCGAGAGUGACGGUACCUGCAGAAGAAGCGCCGGCUAACUACGUGCCAGCAGCCGCGGUAAUACGUAGGGCGCAAGCGUUGUCCGGAAUUAUUGGGCGUAAAGAGCUCGUAGGCGGUUUGUCGCGUCUGCUGUGAAAGCCCGGGGCUCAACCCCGGGUCUGCAGUGGGUACGGGCAGACUAGAGUGCAGUAGGGGAGACUGGAAUUCCUGGUGUAGCGGUGAAAUGCGCAGAUAUCAGGAGGAACACCGAUGGCGAAGGCAGGUCUCUGGGCUGUUACUGACGCUGAGGAGCGAAAGCAUGGGGAGCGAACAGGAUUAGAUACCCUGGUAGUCCAUGCCGUAAACGUUGGGCACUAGGUGUGGGGGACAUUCCACGUUUUCCGCGCCGUAGCUAACGCAUUAAGUGCCCCGCCUGGGGAGUACGGCCGCAAGGCUAAAACUCAAAGGAAUUGACGGGGGCCCGCACAAGCGGCGGAGCAUGCGGAUUAAUUCGAUGCAACGCGAAGAACCUUACCAAGGCUUGACAUUCACCGGACCGCCCCAGAGAUGGGGUUUCCCUUCGGGGCUGGUGGACAGGUGGUGCAUGGUUGUCGUCAGCUCGUGUCGUGAGAUGUUGGGUUAAGUCCCGCAACGAGCGCAACCCUCGUUCUAUGUUGCCAGCACGUGAUGGUGGGGACUCAUAGGAGACUGCCGGGGUCAACUCGGAGGAAGGUGGGGAUGACGUCAAAUCAUCAUGCCCCUUAUGUCUUGGGCUUCACGCAUGCUACAAUGGCCGGUACAAAGGGUUGCGAUACUGUGAGGUGGAGCUAAUCCCAAAAAGCCGGUCUCAGUUCGGAUUGAGGUCUGCAACUCGACCUCAUGAAGUCGGAGUCGCUAGUAAUCGCAGAUCAGCAACGCUGCGGUGAAUACGUUCCCGGGCCUUGUACACACCGCCCGUCAAGUCACGAAAGUUGGUAACACCCGAAGCCGGUGGCCUAACCC